rnacentral:rRNA from 1 species
UGGGGAAUUUUGGACAAUGGACGCAAGUCUGAUCCAGCCAUGCCGCGUGCGGGAAGAAGGCCUUCGGGUUGUAAACUGCUUUUGUACGGAACGAAAAGCCCUUCUCUAAUACAGAGGGGUCAUGACGGUACCGUAAGAAUAAGCACCGGCUAACUACGUGCCAGCAGCCGCGGUAAUACGUAGAGUGCAAGCGUUAAUCGGAAUUACUGGGCGUAAAGCGUGCGCAGGCGGUUUUGUAAGACAGAGGUGAAAUCCCCGGGCUCAACCUGGGAACUGCCUUUGUGACCGCAAGGCUGGAGUGCGGCAGAGGGGGACGGAAUUCCGCGUGUAGCAGUGAAAUGCGUAGAUAUGCGGAGGAACACCGAUGGCGAAGGCAAUCCCCUGGGCCUGCACUGACGCUCAUACACGAAAGCGUGGGGAGCAAACA